AAAUGACAAUGGUGAACGAAUUUUCCACUAUGGAGAUUUUCUCUCAGCAUCUCAAAUUGCAAGUUUUUUUAGUAGACUUUCGUUAAAGAAAAGGCAGAUGUCUAACACUGACUAUGAAGAAAAUGACUUGACAGCUGAAGGGAACAUGAACAAUUUGAAUCAGAUUUCUGAUGUGGCUCUUAAAGCAGUGAACUAAAAUACAUUUUCUAACUAAAAUAAAGAUUUUAAUAUCAAAGUUUUUGGAAGGGGAUAUAGGAAUCACCCUGUUUGCUUGUCCAUCUGUCUGUGGACAACACUUGGAUACUACUGCUCUAGCUCUAGUUGACUAACAUAGAUAAUAUCUGAAAUCGAAUGUGUCAUACUUCUUGUUUACUGUGCAUAAAUGUACAUUGAAGAACAUUUAUAAUUAUUUCUAGCAAAAUAUCUCUGUAAAAUAUUUGACUGUACACUUCAGAAAACAUUUAGUCUCAGAAUCAGAUACCAGAUAUGCUAUAGUGGUGCCUAGUUGUGUCGCGUGCAUAGCAAGGGAACACUUAGGGAUCACUUCUCCAUCGUCUGUCAGUCUGACCGUCUGUCCAUCAGUCCAUCUGUCUGUCACACUUUGAAAUAAGUCAUCCGCAGGAGACACACAUAUUCGAUGGAACACUCUUGUUUUACGUUCAUAUCUGUGAUACUUUUAGUGAGCAUUGAUAUUUGAACCAGUUGAUUGAUCUUUGAUAGUAAAACAAGAUAAACUUUAAUAUGAAGUUGCUUUAAGCUACAUUUUCACAAGGGAGCCUUGCUGAUGUUUAGGUUUAUGUUCAUGUGAAUAAGUAUAAGGUCGUCUUGUGUUUCACCGACACUACCUCUCGUUGUUUUUAGGUUCAUAACGAAUAACAAACAUGGUAUAGCAAUGAAAAUUAGCCAGAAGAUAGAGCUUUGGAGUCCCUUUGGGUUGUUGCGUCAUUUUGACAUAUAAUUUCGGUUUUCGUUAUAUCAUAUAUGGUGAAGUUUUCGCGUAUUUGGUCCACAUUUUGACUAUAUUGUAUGAGACAUUGUACAGCAAUGAUACUUAUUAUUACUUAUAUAGGGUAAGUACAACAGGGUUGACAGUUGAUUAGUAUGCCAUGACCCAAAUAUUCCACUUGAGAGGCUUUAUUUUCCUGGGUAUAUGUUUCAUGUUUUGCUGAUCCCAGUCAAGUCGGUUGCUAGGGUAUAAAUUUCGUUGCUAUGGAGAUUUCUUUUCCUAUUGUUUUGUAAAAAAAGUCAUACAUUUUGUGGAGAUUAUUGUACAGUACUAUGUUUCUGUAAAUUUGGUAUCUAACUGUCAAAUAUCUGUUGUAAUAUUAAAAAAAAUUGCCAAAACGUGCGAAAAUCCAUUGAAAGUGUUUUGAAAAAAUUGCGAAUUUUGAUUUCUGAAAAAAAAAAUUGGGACAUCCAACUACCAAUUUUUUUCAUAUUACUUCAUAGUAUUGGGAUAUAUCUUUAACUUGAUAUGACACACAAUAUCUCGGGUUGUUGCGUUUUUAAGUAUUCAACUUUUGAAAAACUUAAUUUUCCACAGAUAUUCACAUCAUGAAAACCUUGUCAUUUUUCGGUUACCAUAGCAACCAUAUCAGAAUUUCAAAAAAUACUUACAGACAUACAGAUAUUUUCUCCUUAUGCAUCUUUCAUUAUUUCAGUAUCAAAAAACAAAUUUAGACCUUCCAAUUGUUCCCCCUCUGCACUUGAAUAUGUCUAAAUUUGUAUUAUUUUACAAUGUUUCAUUGAGAAUUUACUAUGCAAAUCACAUUUGUUGCCAUGGAAACCAAUGAUAAUGAAUAAAUUUGUUAAAUUUGUCUAAAA